UUUUCUUUCUUUGUUCUUUUCUCUCCCAAAAUCAGCAUCUAGGGCUUUUCGUUUUUCGCUUUCCCUCCACUUUGGACUCCCUCUCAGUGCAUCUGUGAAGACCAAGCAUCCACAGCUUCAUUAUGAGUCAAAAUUGUAUAUGCUUCUUCAAGGAAGAACGGGUAUUCCCUACUUGAAGUGGUUUGGAGUUGAGGCAGUUUAUAAUGUCAUGGUAAUCGAUCUUCUUGGACCGAGUCUGGGACAUUUGUUCAACUACUGCAACAGGAAACUCUCGUUAAAAACUUGAUGCUUGCUCAUCAAUUGGUUAAUAGAGUAGAAUAUAUGCAUUCAAGAGGUUUUCUUCACUGGAAAAGCAUCAUUGCCAUCAGCUGUAUCGAACUCAUGUGCUUUACUUUUAUUGAAUAAGAAAAACAACAAGAAUUCUAUGAUCGUCAUUGGCAAUUACAAUAGUUUCACUUACAAUCUUUGCUAGGGGGGUGAGCUUCCACCUAGCCAGAUAGUGACAAAGUGGAGGGUAAGUUCCCAGAAGGAGAAAUGUUCUUUUUUGUUUCUUCAAUCUUCGUUUUCUCAUACCUUCGUGGCAUGCAUGCAAAGAAGGCCACUGUACGUGUUAGGAAAAAAAAAACUGAGGCCAUCAUUUAAGUCAAGUGUCAAAAAGUACACUUUUGACAUUUUAUGGCGAUGGAAUUGGGUCUCACAUUUUCUAUUUUUCUUAAAAGUAUUCACGUCUUUUGAAGUUAGUGGUUGCCAUAUCAUUUAAGUUGGGAGAGCAUCAUUUAAGAUAACUAUUCUUAACGUGUUAAUUGAACGAAGCCUAUUCGUUGACUGACACAAUAUAUAUUGGGUCACUAAGUCUAAACUGGGGCAGAAGUGGGGUGACAGAGCAAUACAGAAAAUUCAGAGAAGGAAAAUUACAAGUGAAAAUGGGUAACAACGAAUCAACCAGCCAUCACUCUCAAAGAGAAAACGAGGAAGAACUAAAUUGCCGCAUCAAAUUUCAUGCUGUAAUUGUGUUUACCAUAAAUACAUCAUGCACACUCCUUCAGACAAAAUACCAAGGAAGAGAUGAGACUCCCUUUGAUACGCACUAUUGCUAUAUGUUGGCGUUCUUUGUUAAUCUCUUCAUGUAUGUUGUGGCAUUAAUCACUAAAAUGAAUCUCCCAGCUAUCAGCACAAGUUCCCAUCUUGUUGUCAGUGCCAUUAGUCAAUUCUCCGGAGCUUUUGCAUCAGUUAUGCUUCUUUUAAUCCUCGUCCCACUUAUUGGGUGGCUUAGUUUAGCUCUCUGGAUUGUUUGCUUUUUGAAGACUGCAAAAAAAUUCUAUCCAGAAGUCUUAAGCUGGUUUAAUCAUGCUAAAUUUCGUAUGUUUCAAAUAUAGAGAUUGGUACUGAGUA